GUUACGUAAUCUACAAAAAAUUACUCUCCCUUAUAAGUUCUCUCUCUCAACAAUUUUACAAAAGAAAAAGUUUCUUUGUAAAUUCCCUCUCCCUCUCAAAUCCAAAAUCUUUGGAAAAGAAGACUUCCAUAAGUCGGUAUCUUUCCUGAGUCAAAGCGAGAAAAACCUUUUGGAGGCGGUCUCGUGGAGGAAGAAGAGUUCGAUUCAUUGGAGCAGAAGAAUUGCUGUGAAAGAGGAUUUUAUAAAGUGAUAGCUGCCUCUACUCGUAAUCGUGUACCCACCAGAAGUUAGUGAUCUCCUUCAAGAUUUUACUAGAGGUUUAUGUUUCCUUCGAGAUUCACCAGAGAUUAGUGAUCUCCUUCAGGGUUUUGCCAGAGGUUAGUGAUCUCCUUCGAGAUUUCACCAGAGGUUAGUGAUCUCUUUUAGGUUUUCACCAGAGGUUAGUGAUCUCCUUCAGAAUUUCACCAAAGGUUUGUGUUUCCUUCGGAAUUCACCAAAGGAAUCACUAAAGGUUUGUAUUUCCUUCGGGAUUCACCAGAGAUUUGUGACUUCAUCAAGAUUCACCAGAGGUUGUGAUUUCCUUCGAGACUUCAAUGGAGGUUAGUGGUCUCCUUCGAGAUUUCACCAGAGGUUUGUAGGUAUAUCUCACCUACGGUAGAGCAGGUUCAAUUAUCCACUAAAUGACCAUCCAGGAUUCGUAGAGGUUUUUGCAUGUCUCACUAGAAAGUUCCAUUUAUUUGACAUAUAUGCAUAGCCUGAUCCCAGUAGUGGGGUUACUUACUGAGUAUUUUAUACUCAUUCUUUAUUAUGUUAUGUUUUUAGGUAGGAUAAAGACACACUAAUGCAUGAUAAAAGGAAUCCAUGAUCGUGCCAUUAGGACUAGAGAGAUGCUUCCGUUCAUAUUUUCAUGUUUUGAUGUUUUAAAUUUCAGUCUUGAUGUUUGAACUUAGAGUUCCAUUGUUUGAAAUUUUUAUUUAUAAAGCUUUGUGAAAUUUAUUUUUAUUUCAGGGGACCCCGCCCAAAGAUUUUCAAUUAUUUAGAUUUUACAAAAGCUAUUUAUUCAAUAAAAUUCUUUUGAUUUUAGUUAAAAUUUAUGAGAGGGUCGUUUUGAAAUUUAUGCAUGCAUAUAGUGAUGUCCUAGUAUAAGUCCUUGAAAGUCGGGUUGUUACAUAUGCUUAAUCUAUUGAAAUUAUAGUAUGCUUUAUUAUUUUGUAAUUUAGAUUUUUCCACCUUUUUUUACUAUUUAAUCCAAAUAUAAAUCAAAGCACACGUGUUCACAUGCUUCUACUGGAGAUUUAAUCCUUUCAUCUAUAUCUUCAAUAGUUUGAUUUUUGAGAAAUACAACAUCUUGGCUUCUAACAAGCUCUUUUCAACCGGAUCCCACAAAUAGUAACCAAAACAUAUCAUAUUUAUAGCCCAAAAAUAUGCAUUAUUUAGUAUUAUUGUCUAGUUUUAAUGUCUCAUCUUUUGGGAUAUGAACAAAUGCUUUGCAUCCAAAGAUCUUCAAAUAAUCAUAGGAAGGAUACUUUAUUAUCCUUAUCUUAUGUGGCAUUUCACCUUUCAAAUGAACAGGAGAAAGAGUUAUCAAAUCCACUAUAGGUUUCACAACUUUUUAAGGAGAACUUUUUUGUCUUUAUUAUUUCUUUUAGAAAAUAAUUAGGUGCAUCCCACCCAAUUGUUCAAUCAUUAAUUGCCACAUGCCAAAUUCACUUUAUUUCUUUUUUGAAAUAUUUUAAUUUUUUUUGUUUGUGUGUGACGAGAUUGAGAUGCAUAGAGAUCAGUGCGCCUUGAGAUGCACCAAGUACUGCUCUUUUUUUAUGGUUCUUUUAGUUGAUUCGAAAAGGAUGGGAGGAAAUUAGAAAAGUCUUCUUGUUACUGAAACGUUCAUUGUUUUCAAGUGAAUUGAAACUAUAUG